UACGAAGGGUGCUAGCGUUGUUCGGAAUUACUGGGCGUAAAGCGCGCGUAGGCGGCUUCUCAAGUCAGGGGUGAAAUCCUUGGGCUCAACCCAAGAAUUGCCUUUGAAACUGUGAAGCUGGAGUGUCGGAGGGGAUAGCGGAAUUGCUAAUGUAGAGGUGAAAUUCGUAGAUAUUAGCAGGAACACCGGUGGCGAAGGCGGCUAUCUGGACGACAACUGACGCUGAGGCGCGAAAGCGUGGGGAGCAAACAGG
rnacentral:rRNA from 1 species